rnacentral:lncRNA from 1 species
UCACAGUGGCGGAAGUGGACUAAGACAUCAUGUUGCCUCAAGUUUAAUUGGAAAUCGUGUGCCUUGUAAAGAAUGGACACUCAGUAGAUGCUUAUUGAUUAACCUGUUGGUUGAGGAUAACUCGCUAACUUUUCUGAGCUUUGUUGGAAAAACUAGACAGGGGUCUCACUAUGUGAUGCACGAUGUUCUCAAACUCCCUGGCCUCAAGCGAUCCUCCUGCCUUGAUCUCCUAAAGUGCUGGGAUUACAGCAGGUCACUGUAUCUCUAUGCAUUACAGAAAAUGACUAGUUAAAAACUUGUCAAGAGAUGGGGUUUUACUAUGUUGGAGAAGCUAGUCUCAAACUCCUGGGCUCAAGUCAUCCUCCCGCCUCAGCCUGGUUAUUGAGAUUACAGAC